CCAUCUCCAGCGGUGUCUAUUUCCGCUCCGCAAACUACUGUAGCGCCUGGUUUGCCGCCGAAGGCGUCCGCAUUGGUCUCCAGCAGAAGCCAUAUCGAGUGGAACAGGGAAGCGGGGAGGGGGUCGGCGUCGGCAAACUUGCGGAGAGAUGCGGCGGCCGCAUCCCUAUUCACGAGGUGACUGAAGAAGUGACCGUUGCUCCCGCGGAGAGGCGGAAGUGGAGCUGACGAGUCCUUGCGGAGGUGAGGCGGGCGGCUUCAGUGGCCGGCGGAAGCAACCACCAUCCAGUGAGCCCGCAGACGACGCAGAUCCGGCGACCGAAGCUUCCCCACCGUCCGUUUGCUCGGCUGCCGUAGGAAGACCGUGGUCCUCCCAAGCCUGUGGUAAGUCCUCUAGUCCCAAUCCAUGUCUUUGCGUGGCGGACGUUUCCUUAUUACGGCGACGCUGCGGAGGCAGCCGCCGAGGUGCGCGCUGGUGGUGGAGGCCCGAGGCAGGAACUGGUCGGAAUGGCAGAUGCAGCAGCAGCGGCGCGCGCCGCAGCUGCCCAAGAUCGAGGACGACGGCAACCUGCGCUUUGUCAUAUUCAUCCGCACUGCAAAUGUCAGUGCCUAGCUCUAGCUGACAUCUCCACCCGUCGAUUCGGUUCCUGCUGCUUCUCGAUUUCGUUCUGCAGUUUCCAUCGCGCGCUGCAAACAGAUCGAUCAAGAUUUGUGCUUUUUCUGUAGGUCUACUUCUGGUACCCGCUCAACGUCGUGACCGGCAGAAUGACGGCGAAGAUCAUGCUCGCAUCCAAGGACAACUUCCUCGGCAAGUACAUCUACAAGGACACGCUCGCCAGGAACCUUGCCGCCGUCAUUUACAAAGAUGAAGAUGAGAUUAUAGACACAGCAAAGGCGCCGUACCAUGUGUUGAAGACCGUGUGUUGAAAUGGACAAUUGCAAUUUACUUCACUUUUGCAUGGGUAGGAAAAUGGAAACAUAAGAUCUGCGCUGAUGACAAGUAAUAUGAUCGAACUUUCAAAGAAGGACGAGCUCAAAACUGUGGUUGACAAGGUGAAGGACUUCUUUGGUGAAGUAACUACUGGCGCCAAAGAAUCCCUUGCGCAGAUCACAGGGUCUGCUCUCAGCAAGGAUGCAGAGCAAGCAGAAGGGGAAGAAGAGAAAUUCCGCUCAAAGAGACGAAAGAAGCGGAAGUCAAAGUAGGGCCUCAAGACGGAGGGAUGAUUCUAUCACUCAGCACAUCAGGGGCCGUCAGACAAGCGAAGCAGCAUCUGUGAUUUUGCCGUGUCCCAAACUAGAGCUGCUCUGUAAUUUCUCCAGCUUUAAUUUUUUGCAAAGAGAAUGUGUAACCUCCUUGCGACUGACAAGUUGAUUCCUUCUCACUAAAUCUCGCAAAUUCUGGCGAGGGGUACAGUUGUAUAUUGAUUUCAUUUCUUGAUAGUUGAAAAGUGGAGUGGUUGUACAGCGCGAAAUUGAGAUAGUAUGGUCUUGCGACUAAACUACCUUGCUGGAAACAGAAUGUCACACCUUGGUGAAGUCCGCAAUUUCCACUGGUAGUUGAUGAAGGUGUUGAUAGCACUUUAUGUAGGUCAAAAGGACAAUCAAAUUGCACUUAAGAAGCA